rnacentral:rRNA from 1 species
UACGUAGGGGGCUAGCGUUGUCCGGAUUUAUUGGGCGUAAAGAGCGUGUAGGCGGCCAGGUAGGUCUGGUGUGAAAACUCGAGGCUUAACCUCGAGAUGUCAUCGGAAACCAUCUGGCUAGAGUCCGGAAGAGGAGUGUGGAAUUCCUGGUGUAGCGGUGAAAUGCGUAGAUAUCGUAAGGAAGACCAGUGGCGAAGGCGGGUCUCUGGACAGUUCCUGACGCUGAGGCACGAAGGCCAGGGGAGCAAACGGG